GACAAUGUAGCAUAGUGGUUUGACUGUUAGACUACAACUCUAGAGACCAGGAUUUGAUUCCCAGCUUAGCCU